rnacentral:rRNA from 2 species
CGUAGGUGACCUGCGGAGGGAUCAUUACACAAAUAUGAAGGCGGGCUGGAACCUCUCGGGGUUACAGCCUUGCUGAAUUAUUCACCCUUGUCUUUUGCGUACUUCUUGUUUCCUUGGUGGGUUCGCCCACCACUAGGACAAACAUAAACCUUUUGUAAUUGCAAUCAGCGUCAGUAACAAAUUAAUAAUUACAACUUUCAACAACGGAUCUCUUGGUUCUGGCAUCGAUGAAGAACGCAGCGAAAUGCGAUAAGUAGUGUGAAUUGCAGAAUUCAGUGAAUCAUCGAAUCUUUGAACGCACAUUGCGCCCUUUGGUAUUCCAAAGGGCAUGCCUGUUCGAGCGUCAUUUGUACCCUCAAGCUUUGCUUGGUGUUGGGCGUCUUGUCUCUAGCUUUGCUGGAGACUCGCCUUAAAGUAAUUGGCAGCCGGCCUACUGGUUUCGGAGCGCAGCACAAGUCGCACUCUCUAUCAGCAAAGGUCUAGCAUCCAUUAAGCCUUUUUUUCAACUUUUGACCUCGGAUCAGGUAGGGAUACCCGCUGAACUUAAGCAUAUCAUA